rnacentral:rRNA from 1 species
AUGGAUUACCUUUUGUGGGUCUUAUGUCCUUCUAGUAUAGAUGAAUGCCACAUGCUAGCUAACAAUAUGGUGGAGGUAUCACAUUCUUGGGCCAGGAACAACAACGGACACCCAAGUUAUGCAUACCAUACUAGUACUGUAAAUCACAGGAGGAAAUCGCGAAUGCCCACAUUGAGGAUACGGAGAAACUUCAUGUUUCAACAAACAGUGCCUAUUCCCUUAUUACAGCAUUACGCAAACACUGGUCUGGUUCUAGCUUCAAUGAUGAUUUUCCAUCCAGUUGUUACAUUAGGCGACUUAGUUCUCCUAUUUCCUUACUUGAGAAAUACCUGCGUGCCAUUCCUUUUACAUAUUUUACUGAUUUGCUUUGCAUUUUCUGUUUGCAUGUGGUAG